rnacentral:lncRNA from 1 species
UGCGGAGGAUGGAUGCAAUGGAUGACUGUAAAGAAGUAGACAUCGACUGUUGACACAAACUAUGACAAGUUUAGGAUCAACUUUGAAUUAAUUCCAGACAAUGUUUUUACAAUAUAUGGAGUAGGAUUUGUUUUUACUUCCUCUCCAACCCUUUCAGGGCUGCUCACAGCUAAUAUAAUGAAACGUCCUGACAGUUGAGCUGCUCUUCUCAGCAACAUUCUUGAAAUUGUCCGGGUUACCAGGUGAAUUUUUUGUUUUUCUUUUUAUUUAGCAUACCCAUGGAUAGCAUUUUGAAACUCUUUGGACAAAUACUAUACAUUUAUCUGUUGGAAUGGCCAAGGUGCUAACCUACCCGCAUUGAGUUCAAAAGGAUUAUUUAAUAAGACAAGUCGAGAAACAAACAUAUCAACAUCAAUAUUGAGGAUUGGGAAUAUUGUCUAAAUUGUAGUAAGCAUAAGAGCACCGCCCCAGAGAUUGUCAAAAAAAAUUUGUUAAGUUUGAGAGACGACAUAUAUGAUGAGAGAAGUCAUUCUGAACUAUCGUGCCUCCUUAUCCUGCUGAUCUGGAAAAAGUAAAUGUGUAUGUUUCACUUUAUUACAAUCAUCCAAUUAAACCCAAGUAUGAUUUGUUUUGUUUUAUAACUUGUUGCCAACGGGAAUCCACCUUCAUUAAUUAAAAUUACAAUAAACACAUUUCUACAGAAAUAAAGAGGUUUUGUAAUACACAGUUUUCAUAAAAAUUCCGCGUUUUGAGAACAAUAUAUUUUUUACAUCAUAUUGACAGAUUUUGUAUAAUUGGGAGUUCUGCGUUCACCUUUUUGGGAUAAAUUGAUAUAUUAAAGAAUGUUAACUAUAUUUUAGAGCCUUUAUUUGAUUUAUGAACCAUAAUUAAAACCCGAUAUGUCCUUUUAAGUAUAACUUGUCAAUCAUUAAUUUUGUAAUUGUGAAAAUAUAUUUUUGCUUUUGGAAGGGCAAAUUGCAGGACUUCCAAGUACGCCUUCUAUAAUAAAUAAAUAAUAAUAAAUCUAUGGAUUUUUUACUGAAAGUAUAGAAUCAAUAUAUAAAGAGGAAGAAAAAAAA